CCCCCACCUGGCCCUGGCCCCUCCUGAGAGGGGAUGCUCCACUGUCAGAACUUGGAGGCACCUGCUGUUCCACCUGCAGCUGGGCUGCAUCUUCUCUCAACAGAUUCAUGUCGGCAUUUCACACCCUUCUUCCUGCAGCCCCAUUUCCAAAGUGAGACCAUCCCCACAUCCUUCAAGGCAGGCCAGAGGUCUCCAUAGCACAGGAUUGGACCAUUUGCCUUGCAUGUAGGUCUUCUGUCCUGGGUGGCAUCUCCGGGGGGGGGGGGCUGCAAAUGUCCCCCCCAUCCAAAACCCCAGAGAGUUGUUGCCAGUCAGUGCAGGCUAGUUGAAGAAGGAUAUUGAGCAGCUGGAAGGUAAGCAGAGGAGGGCAACCAGGAUGAUGAAGGGUCUGGAAGCCAAGCCUGAUGAGGAAUGGUUGAGGCAGUUGGAAACCAAGCCUGAUGAGGAACAGUUGAGGCAGUUGGAUACCAAGCCUCAUGAGGAACGGUUGAGGCAGCUGGGUAUCUUUAGCCUGGAGAAGAGGAGACUGAGAGGAGAGAGGAGAGCCAUAUCUGAUAUCCAAUAUCUGAGGGCUGCAAGAGGGAGCAAGCUUGUUUUCUGCUGCUCCAGAGAGGAGGGCAGGAGAGGAGAUUAGGACUAAACAUUAGGAAGAACUUUCUGAUGGUAAGACUCUCUGGGAUGGUGGUGGACUCUCCUUCCUUGGAGGCUUUUAAGCAGAGGUUGGAUGCCAAUCUGCGAGGGAUUCAGCUGCAAUUUGGGGAGCGCAUAGCACUGGCCUACUUUACAGGGUUGUUGUAACCACACAGGGCUGCUGAGCAUCCAAAAGUGCCUGACAAAUGUUGAGCCUUCCAUUUCAUUGUAGGGAACAGCUGCAGCGCAUCAGGAGGCGUCCCUCAACUUCCGUUUCUUCUCUCUCCUGCAGCCAAAGGGGCCGGGCCGGAUUACCAAAUAGGCAGAGUAGGCACCGGCCUAUGGGCCCCACACUCUUUGGGGUCCCCCAAUGGAUAAAAAUAAUAUUGAUUUGAUCUUGAAAGAAAACAACAACCAAGCUUUGUUAGUUCAAUUUUAUUCCAGCGUAUGCACAAGGCCUACCCCCCACCCAGAUUUUGACCGCCCAGGGGCCUCCACAGGGCUUAAUCCAGCACUGCCCCUUGAACAGCCCAGUAUACCUGAAGGAGCGUCUUCAACCCCAUCGUUCUGCCCGGACACUGAGGUCCAGCUCCGAGGGCCUUCCGGUGGUUCCCUCAUUGCAAGAAGUGAGCUUACUGGGAACCAGGCAGAGGGCCUUCUUGGUGGUGGCGCCCACCCUGUGGAACACCCUCCAGUCAGAUGUCAAGGAAAUAAACAACUAUCUGACUUUUAGAAGACACCUGAAGGCAGAGGCGUAGGAAGGGGUGUGUGGGCUGCCCUGGGUGUCAUCACUGAGGGGGUGACAAAAUGGCAAAAAUAUGUGUUUUUAAAAUAAAUAAAUAAAAAAUUUCCAAGGUAAGGGACGCUGCGCCACGCCACUCCUGCCUGGGCAGCUGCCUCAGAGCAACUGAAGGUGAUGCUGGUGGUGGCACUGCUGCUAUUGCAGGAGGAGGAGGAGGAGGGAAAAGAAGAGGGGGGGGCGAAAGGACGCGGGGCUGUGGCGCACUGCAUGCCUGCCUCUCCUCGCGCUCCUGCUCUGGCCUCGGCUGGUGUGAGGGGAGAACCUAUAAAGGGGGCUGCCGGCGGGGAGCGCCGCCUAUGCAAAGAGCACCAGUGACACGCAGGGGGCAGGCAGGCCAGGCCGCUGAGAGGCUCUGGGUGGCGUAGCAGGGGCAGGGGCGGCGUGUGGGGAAGCUGGGAGGAAGCACCCACAGCUGGAAGCACCCACAGACAUUUCAGUUGCCGCACAACUGGGGUGGGGAGAGGGCAAGAUGCAAUAAUACCGUAAGAGAUUAGAUUGGAAAAUUUUCAGAUAGGAUUGAUGGAAGUAAAAAAAAAAUGAAUAAGAUGUAAAAGUAUGUUUAAUUACUGUUGAAAAUGAUAUGUUAAAACACACACACACACACACACACACACACACACACACACACAUCCUGAAGCUGAGGCUGCAAUACUUUGGCCACCUCAUGAGAAGAGAAGACUCCCUGGAAAAGACCCUGAUGUUGGGAAAGAUGGAGGGCACAAGGAGAAGGGGACGACAGAGGACGAGAUGGUUGGACAGUGUUCUUGAAGAUGCCAGCAAGAGUUUGACCAAACUGCGGGAGGCAGUGGAAGACUGGAGUGCCUGGCGUGCUCUGGUCCAUGGGGUCACGAAGAGUCAGACACGACUAAACGACUAAACAACAACAAUAACACACACAGAUAUAUGAUGCAAUAAUAUCGUGCCUUUCAAAGGUGUGUACAUAGCCCCAGCAAAGGUGCAAGAUCCUGCUGGUGGGUAAGUAUGUAUUGGAACAGGGUUCAGCAAACUUUCAGCAGGGGGUCGGUCCAUUGUCCCUCAGACCUUGUGGGGGGCCGGACUAUAUUCUGGGGGGGGGGAAAUGAACGAAUUCCUAUGCCCCACAAAUAACUCAUAGAUGCAUUUUAAAUAAAAGCACACAUUCAACUCAUGUAAAAACACGCUGAUUCCCAGACCAUCCGCAGGCCAGAUUUAGAAGGUGAUUGGGCCAGAUCCAGCCCCCCCCCCGGGCCUUAGUUUGCCUAUUCAUGUAUUGGAAAGUAUAUGCUUGAGGGUUUCCUCAAGGCAUCAAUAUUGUGGUUCUCCAUAUAACUCUACUCUGUAAAAGUUUCUGCUUACAGCAUCUACUACUAUGCUAUAAGAUCCACUGUCCUGUGUUAUCAUAUAUGGUAUGUACAGUUGUUUACGGUUUUUAUAUAAUUUUUGCUGUAAAAAUGUGAGAGAUUACAGUAUUGUAUUUAUUUGCAUUACCUGGAGUUUGUACUACUGAUGAAGCCCAAGACGGUGAAACAAGGCUAAUAUUCUGGAAAUAUUGUCUUAAGACUGUGAAAGGAUUCUGUGGAACUGCAACAACCUUUUGUGUGGAUUGCUGGACUCUAUGAACAGCCAGGUGGAAUAGACACUUUCACAUAUAUGGACCUUAUGCAUAAACUGAUUAGAG
rnacentral:lncRNA from 1 species